rnacentral:rRNA from 1 species
CCUACGGGAGGCAGCAGUGGGGAAUCUUGCGCAAUGGGCGAAAGCCUGACGCAGCAACGCCGCGUGCGGGAUGAAGGCCUUCGGGUUGUAAACCGCUUUCAGCAGGGAAGAAAUUGACGGUACCUGCAGAAGAAGCCCCGGCCAACUACGUGCCAGCAGCCGCGGUAACACGUAGGGGGCGAGCGUUGUCCGGAUUUAUUGGGCGUAAAGAGCUCGUAGGCGGUUCGGUAAGUCGGGUGUGAAACCUCCAGGCUCAACCUGGAGACGCCACCUGAUACUGUUGUGACUAGAGUCCGGUAGGGGAGUGUGGAACUCCUGGUGUAGCGGUGAAAUGCGCAGAUAUCAGGAAGAACACCAGCGGCGAAGGCGGCACUCUGGGCCGGUACUGACGCUGAGGAGCGAAAGCGUGGGUAGCAAACAGGAUUAGAUACCCUGGUAGUCCACGCCGUAAACGUUGGGCACUAGGUGUGGGUCUCAACCAACGAGAUCCGUGCCGCAGCUAACGCAUUAAGUGCCCCGCCUGGGGAGUACGGGCCGCAAGGCUAAAACUCAAAAGAUAGUACGGCGUCGAGACGACGUCCGAACGGACGACGACCGAACGGGGAGGUUAAGG